rnacentral:rRNA from 1 species
UACGUAGGGUGCAAGCGUUAAUCGGAAUUACUGGGCGUAAAGCGUGCGCAGGCGGUUAUGUAAGACAGAUGUGAAAUCCCCGGGCUCAACCUGGGAACUGCAUUUGUGACUGCAUAGCUAGAGUACGGUAGAGGGGGAUGGAAUUCCGCGUGUAGCAGUGAAAUGCGUAGAUAUGCGGAGGAACACCGAUGGCGAAGGCGACAUCCUGGACCGACAUUGACGCUGAGGAGCGAAAGCGAGGGGAGCAAACGGG